UCCCAAAUCCCAAUCGCCCUUUACUGCUUCGGUAGCCGGUACUCCCCUUCCCCUAUGGGCUUCGGCUUCAGCAAAUCAUCCAUCUGACACCCGCGCGCGGCUCACAGCCGCAAGCCGCCACCGACCCACGGCCACGAUCCACAAUUCCGGAUUUACGAAGUGACACGAUCACAAACAGUCGAAUAGGAUCCACCGUCCACAGCUCACCUCCUCCGAACACGACCCACGGUUCGCGGCUCACCUUCUCCAACGGAUUGUUGCAGCAUGGCGGCUGAUGUCAUGGUGAAAGUGGAGCAGCUGAAUCCCUGCUGUGCAUUGUUGAAAGGGAAAUACAUGAAGUUGGAAGAGAAACGAAAUGCCCUUCGGCAAGCUGUGAAGCUCCUUGAACAAGAAAUUAAUAAGGUUCAAGCAGAGAAUCUCAAUCUUAGGAAAGCAUAUGAAGAAGUGCGAGCACAAGCUGACAUUGUGAGAGAGGAGAAGGUGAAAGAAUCAGAUGUUAGAGUUACCUUGGAAAAUGAGGUAUUUUCUUUGAAGUCUGAAGUCUCUUUGUUGCAGCAAAAGGGAUGCUUGGGAGCUCAAGGUCUACAUGAAGAAAUAAAAUUGCUUCAAGAACGUGUUUCUGAAGCGGAAACAGAGAUAAAUAGGCUGAAUGAUCUUCUUGAGAAAGAGAAAUUAAGGGCAGUGACAGAGAAGAAUAAAGCUGCUGAAGCUUGGGGAAUUGUGAAAGCUGAAAAGAGCAGGGCUGAUGAAGCAGAAAAGAGAUUUGCUGAUAUUGAAGGUAGAAAAGCUGAGGAAUAUCGGAUUCAGUUGGAGACUGCAAGGAAAGAAGCUGAUCAAGCUAAAUCAAAAAUGAUUUUGGAGACAGUUAAGACGCAGGAGGAAAACAUCAAUAGGCUGAAAGAGCUUCUUGAAAAAGAGAAAUUAAAGGCAGACAUGGAGAAGAAGAAAGCUGCUGCAGAGACUAACAGAGCCGCUGAAGCAUGGAAAAUUGUUAAAGCCGAAAAGAGUAGGGCUGAUGAGGAGAGAAGGCGUGCUAACAUUGAAGGCAAAAAUGCUGAGAAACAUCGGAUUCAUUUGGAGGCCAUAAAGAAAGAAGCUGAUGAAGCGAGAUCAAAAUUGGUUCUAGAGGCUGUUGAGGAAAGGAAGCGUGCUGAUAUUGAAGGUAAGAAAGCUGAGGAAUAUAGGAUUCAGUUGGAGACUGUAAAGAAAGAAGAUGCUGAGGCUAGGUCAAAGUUGGAUUUGGUGAUGGCUAAUUUUGAAGAGGCAAACAAGAUGCUUAAAGUUGAAAAGCAGAAAGCAAUGAAAUUGAAAGAGCAUGAGGAUUCAGAAAGGUUGAAAACAAAAGAGCUGAAGAAGCUUGCGGAAGCAAAUAGGAAAAAUGCUAUGGCUGAAAGGUCUCGGGCUGAUUGUCUCUCCCAGCAGUUGAAAGAGGAUAAGCUGUUGAUUGAGGAAUUACGAAAGGAGAAACAUCAACUUAUCUCUUCCUUAGAAUUGGCUGAAACUGCACCAGAUGGUUUUGGGCCAGAGACAAUGAGUAGAGAAUCUGACGGAAGACAGCUGGUUUUGGAGUUUCUAAAGCAGGAAGAUACAAACAAAAUGACUGAAGUUGUAAAAGAAAAGGCAUAUACAGUGAAAAAAUGUGCUGGUCUGGAGAUAGUGGAACUGGAAGAGCAGAGAAAGCUUGUGGAAGUGUACAGAAAGAUGGCCAUGGAAGAAAAACAUUGCGCUGAUCAGUUAUCUCAGCAAUUGGAAGCAGAUAGGUGUACAAUUGAGAAAUUAAAGAAGGAGAAACAUGAACUUGAGUCCUCCAAAAGUUUUACUAGGAGACCUGCAAUGAAAGCUGAAUCUGAAAGGAUGAAGCUUUUGAAAAAACAAUUGAAGUUUGAAAAGAUGCAAGUCAAGCAUGCCAUAAAAAUGGCUAAAUUGGAAAAAGGUCGUAGUAGUAUGCUACAUCAAGAAGUCUGUCGCCUAAAGCAGGAAUUUGUUCAAUUUUCACAUCGCUUGGAUGUACUGGAUAGCUGUUCCUCAUGCUGCACUGAAGGUAUAGAUGACAUUGCAAAGACUAGCAGUUUCUCAUAUAUGCAAAUCUUGGACAUGAAGAGAAAAGUCAUGGGUGUAGAAGCAUUUCAGAAUACCUCUGAUUGUUUGAAGCAAGUUGUAGAUUGUACUGCACCACUGCUUCAAGAGUCUGAGAGGAAAUUUGUUGAAUCUGUCUCAGGUAUUGAUUCUAAAUUGGGGCCUCUGCUUGGAGGCUCUCAAAGAAAAAUGUUACAGAGUUCUGCCUUAAAUUCCAGUAAGGCGUCUUUUUCUGAUAGACAAUUGGUGGGCUCACAGGAAAAGGGUGCCUUUUCUGUUAUGACAUCAGCAAAAUUGAUGGAAGAGAACUCGAAUCCACAGCCUUUUAUUACCAAAUUACCGGGUAAUGUCAACAGAAUGAACUACAAUGAAAAUUCUGCUGUUGUCGCUGAAAAUAGUGUCAGAAGCCCCCUUUGCACGAAUGUUGUUGGAAGAGUAAGUGGGCGAAGUAGCAAGAGGAAGAGGAUCCUUGAUGCUGUUGAAUCCAUUGAAUGUAUGAAUUCUAAAGGUAAGAAGCUGCAUUUACAGAUUGAAGAAAGGCUGCAUGUUCUACAUGAUAUGUUAAACAGACAAAUGGACAAGUCUUUAGAAGUUGAAAGAUAUCUCACCUCUACUCUGCAAGAAGAUUCGUGUGUUAAACAUGAUGGAUCUCGUAAGAAGAGGGCAUUUCAUCGAGAGGAGGGGGGUAUGCAGCAUUUAUGUGACAUGGAUGAGCAACAGAAGAGGAAAAAACUUGGAACUAAUACCAGUGGAGAGGCAAAUCUCCAAACCCAAGCACCCUUUCGUGCUGAUACUCGAACAGAAUAUGUUCAGGUAUGCAAGGAUGAAAUCAGUGAUUUUGUUAGAGGCAAUCAAGAAAGGGUUGAUAGUUUUGAAGAAGUAGCUGAUGGUAACUACAUGAAAUUGCUUGAACUGGAUAAUGCAAUUGAUGAGGAGUGUUACCAGGCUGCACUUAAGAUGCCUUUGUCUCCCUCUCUUCCUGAGAUUUCUGAAGUGUUGCUUAUGGAUGACUCUGAAUGCUUAGUAGAGGAAAGAUUUCAUGAAAUAAUUACAAAUGGAAAAGAUAAUCUGGUGUCAUCUCAAAGCUUUGAAGUCAUCAAUGUUGAGAUAAAUUCCAAUGAGUCAAAACUGAGUCAUCCUGAAGCUUUUCACGAACCAAUGUUGCAAGAGAGCAUAGAUUAUGUUGAUUCUUGUGGAAAAGCAGAGCACAUCGAAAAUGCUUUUAGUUCUGGAUGUGUUGGAAAAGCUAGUGCUCAGCAGGUUUUCAUCACUGACAUGGAGUUGCAUGCAUCAAAUAUGUUGCGUCCUGUGCAUGAGGGGGAGAAAUUUCCAUGUGAAAGUGAAAAUAAAUCAUGUGGUAGUAUCCCUAAUUUUUGUGUUGUGUUUUCAGACACUAAAAAGAUAAGUAGCAUUUCUAGGAUUUUCUGUGCUACAAGAAAUUGUAUGGCUCGUUGCUGUUUGGCCUCUCAAAUGGAUUGGGCAGUGCCAGAAAUUCUGCGGGCCCUUCUUCUGGAAGAUGAUCUUUUACCUGGGGAGAAGGCUUGUGUGUUCUUUUCACUCUUGCUGCAUCACUUUUCUGGCACUGCUUUAAGGUUCAUUGGAAACUUUUUGGCAGGACUGUCUAAACUUUGCUUAGAUUCCUUUGCUGCACACAUAUCCGCAGUGAUGUCUGAUGUGGAGACAAGAAGGAUCUUUGCAGAUUUAUGUGACUUGGACGAGCUGUUUAGUCUGAUUGAGGAAUUCCUUGUAAAUGGAAAAGUUCUGGUCUAUAAUGAUGAAUCUGCAGAGUCGUUGCUUGAAUGCGAUUCAAGAAUUGACAUCUUUCUUGAUGGUGUGAAUAUAAACUUGUCUGAAGAAACUGCUGUGACGUGCCAAUUGGUGGGAGGGAGCAUUAUAUUAGCAUCAAUUUGUGUAGCACUUGAUCAAAUUGGUUUUAUAUGUGAGGCUUCCUACAACAUUUUCCGGAUGCAUAGAUUUGAUUCUUCACUGUCGCUGACCAUUCUUCAUGUUUUUGCUCAUCUGUGUGGGGAGCAAUAUCUGACUCUGCAUAACUACAGUUUAACAAUGGCUGUUGUGAAAUCUAUGGUUAUAUAUCUUGAGAGAGAAAAGCCACCUGGUGCUGCUUGUCUUCCUUCUCCAAGUGAGGCUUUGACCGAGUUCCCGCCUUGUGCUAGAUGCCCAUUUUCUGAAGGUGCAGUUUCUGUAGAUAUUGUUAUAUCAUUGCUCUUGGAAAAGCUUCAGAGCUGUGCUCUAUCAGGGACCAUGCAUCAGCAUAUGCUGGAAACAAUUGACUUGUUGAAUUCUAGCAUCCCAUCCAAUCAUACAAAGGAUCAACAAAGUUCAGGUAAUGGAGAUUCUGGCUCAGUUCUGAAUGGGAAAUUUUAUGCAUCAUGUUUGAGUAAUUUUGGGAUGCCGUCUGCUCGAUCAGAGUCCGCUUUUGAUAUGACCUUGUAUCAAUUCAGUGACAUCAUCUCAUUAGUGGAGCUGAUUGCUUACAAGAUGACAUGGCGCUGGACAUGUGAUAAAAUUGUCCCUCAGCUGUUGAAAAUAUUUGAAUCUUGUGUCCAGGAGAAAUUUGCAGCUGCCAUAGUUAUUCUGCUUGGUCAACUCGGGAAGCUUGGACUUGAUGAUAGUGGGCAUGAAGAUAUGGGAAUUCGAAAUCUGAGAUCUAGAUUUUCUGCUUUACUGGCCUGUUACUCUCCUGGGAUAUCGAAUUUUUCUCUUCAAGUUGCUGUAGUUUAUGCAUUGCUUGGCAUUCUUUCAUUUGAUUUUGAGGAACUUCUUCAGAGUAAUGCGGAAGUUCGAGCAUUUGCUGGUGAAUCUGGUCCUGCUGAUCUCAUAAAGAAUUGGUUUUAUUCACUGGGCAGUGAGCAACAGUCAGUGUGUGUAGGCUUUUUAAAAUCUGAUGGGGUGCUCAAGAACCGAGGAACUUGAGAGCAAAAGAACUGUAUAUCUGUACUGAUAUUUUUCUCGCCAAAUUUGGAACAUCAUUAAUGCAGUGAAUUGGUUUUAUUCACCGGGCAGUGAGCAACAGUCGGUGUGUGUAGGCUUUUUAAAAUCUGACGGGGUGCUCAAGAACUGAGGUACUUGAGAGCGGAAGAAGUGUAUAUCUGUACUGACAUUUUUCUCACCCAAAUUUGGAAUGAGUGUCAUUAAAGCAGGUGCUUGAGAGGUUUGAGUCCUGUUUAAUUUGUUCGCAUGAAAUAUAACUUCUCUUCAUCUAAUUUGUGAUGCUUCUUGAGUGGUUUCUCUGUGGUUUCUCUGAUUUUCAGUAUGCAUAUAGUGGAAUUGUGGUGGUUCAAUGGUUGUGACAAAAGCAGUCUAAUCUGAUGUGAGCUGCUGCUAUUGUUGGAUGCGCGGCUUUCUGCUUUGGUGGUAUUUUGUGGUAGAAGAUCUCAUGGGCGUAUGGUUUCUGAUUCAAUGGCAAUUGAAAUUCAAUUUUAAUUGCUUCCCUGAAUGGUUGGCCAGGGUUUUGGCCAUUGGGUUAGGUAAUUCUUUCCCAUGCUUGAUUGCAUCUUGUAAUUUUCCAUUAGUUUAAUCACUUUCAUCAUUAUGCAUCACACUGAUAGCUCCUGGUCUAUUUUUUCCCCCUUUCUCACGAACUUUGUUGUUUAAAUUAGUGAUGACAAUUACAAUUCAUACCCACUGAUCCAUCCAUAUAAAUAAAAGGGUUACGAUAUAUCAUGUGAA